rnacentral:rRNA from 1 species
AGAGUUUGAUCCUGGCUCAGAUUGAACGCUGGCGGCAUGCCUUACACAUGCAAGUCGAACGGCAGCACGGGGGGUAACCCCUGGUGGCGAGUGGCGAACGGGUGAGUAAUAUAUCGGAACAUGCCCUGUAGCGGGGGAUAACGCGUCGAAAGAUGUGCUAAUACCGCAUACGCUCUACGGAGGAAAGCGGGGGUCGCAAGACCUCGCACUAUAGGAGUGGCCGAUAUCGGAUUAGCUAGUUGGCGGGGUAAAAGCCCACCAAGGCGACGAUCCGUAGCUGGUCUGAGAGGAUGAUCAGCCACACUGGAACUGAGACACGGUCCAGACUCCUACGGGAGGCAGCAGUGGGGAAUUUUGGACAAUGGGCGCAAGCCUGAUCCAGCCAUGCCGCGUGAGUGAAGAAGGCCUUCGGGUUGUAAAGCUCUUUCGGCAGGAACGAAAUGGUUCGUGCUAAUACCACGGACUGAUGACGGUACCUGAAGAAGAAGCACCGGCUAACUACGUGCCAGCAGCCGCGGUAAUACGUAGGGUGCAGGCGUUAAUCGGAAUUACUGGGCGUAAAGCGUGCGCAGGCGGUUUCUUAAGUCAGAUGUGAAAUCCCCGGGCUUAACCUGGGAACUGCGUUUGAAACUGGGAGACUUGAGUGUGGCAGAGGGGGGUGGAAUUCCACGUGUAGCAGUGAAAUGCGUAGAUAUGUGGAGGAACACCAAUGGCGAAGGCAGCCCCCUGGUCAACACUGACGCUCAUGCACGAAAGCGUGGGAGCAAACAGGAUUAGAUACCCUGGUAG